GACGAACGCUGGCGGCGUGCUUAACACAUGCAAGUCGAACGAAGUGGCGGACGGGUGAGUAACGCGUAAUCAACCUGCCCUUCAGAGGGGGACAACAGUUGGAAACGACUGCUAAUACCGCAUACUGAAGGAGGGGAUUGCGACUGAUUCGCUAGUUGGAGGGGUAACGGCCCACCAAGGCGAUGAUCAGUAGCCCGUCUGAUAGGCUGAACUGCCACGUUGGGACUGAGACACGGCCCAGACUCCUACGGGAGUCAACAGUGGGGAAUCUUCCGCAAGGGACGAAAGUCUGACGGAGCAACGCCGCGUUAGUGAUGGCGGCCUUCGGGUUGUAAAGCUCUGUUAAUCGGGGCGCGGUACCGGAAUAGGAAGCCACGGCUAAGUUCGUGCCAGCAGCCGCGGUAAUUC
rnacentral:rRNA from 1 species